GAUGAGCUUCAACUGCCGGUAGCAACACUUACUGAAGUUUCUGCUUUUGACGUUGAUAAUCCAACACUGCGAUGUUGCGGCGUUUCUUUCAUCUGAGAUUCCUCUGGAUUUGGAGGACGCCGGCGAACAAAAAGAGUGGUAGCGGAAGAUCUAGAAGAGCAACAAAAUUGAAGUUCGUCGGCAUCGAAUUUAGGCUUUCUAGCUUGCUUCUGGUGUUCCCCGGCGAAUUUAAAGAAGGCAGCAUGAUCGAAGAUGGCAAGACGAGGUUAUUUAGGAACUUCGAUGUUUAGUGAUACACUAUCGUGCACGUUAACUGUCUUGCCAAGAUCAAUCUGGCGGGCCCACUCGAUACUGUUUGGGUCAACAAUUGUUGAAUAUCGACAGGUCUUAUCAGCUUUCGGUUUAGUGCACAAGAUUGUUGCAUUUCAGAAGGCUGCUGAUUUUCAGUCUUCCGCGUUCCUCCCCACCUAAGUUUUGUGCAUUGCUGCAAAUUUCGUCCUUGCUGAUUGUUGUAAUUUUCGCUUGUAAUAUUUUUUGCUUCCGCUGUU